GUGGCCUACCAAGGCGACGACGGGUAGCCGGCCUGAGAGGGUGACCGGCCACACUGGGACUGAGACACGGCCCAGACUCCUACGGGAGGCAGCAGUGGGGAAUAUUGCGCAAUGGGCGGAAGCCUGACGCAGCGACGCCGCGUGGGGGAUGACGGCCUUCGGGUUGUAAACCUCUUUCAGCAGGGACGAAGCGAGAGUGACGGUACCUGCAGAAGAAGCACCGGCCAACUACGUGCCAGCAGCCGCGGUAAUACGUAGGGUGCAAGCGUUGUCCGGAAUUAUUGGGCGUAAAGAGCUCGUAGGCGGUUUGUUGCGUCGGCUGUGAAAUCCCGAGGCUCAACCUCGGGUCUGCAGUCGAUACGAGCAAACUAGAGUGUUGCAGGGGAGACUGGAAUUCCUGGUGUAGCGGUGAAAUGCGCAGAUAUCAGGAGGAACACCGGUGGCGAAGGCGGGUCUCUGGGCAACAACUGACGCUGAGGAGCGAAAGCGUGGGGAGCGAACAGGAUUAGAUACCCUGGUAGUCCACGCCGUAAACGUUGGGCGCUAGGU
rnacentral:rRNA from 1 species